rnacentral:tRNA from 1 species
GGUGAUGCAAACUGUUAAUGUGCUUGGCUGGUAACCAAAAGUUUGGAGGUUGGAGUCCUCCCAGAGCCA